rnacentral:misc_RNA from 1 species
AAGAGUAACGGGGGCUUCGGCCUACCAACUCCACCCUUUGUUUACAAUACCAUUGUUGCUUUGGCAGGCCCGUCGUAAGACGACCGGCUUCGGCUGGCCAGCGUCUGCCAGAGGACCUAAAACUCUGUUAAACAUAUUGUCCGAGUACUAUAUAAUAGUUA